rnacentral:rRNA from 1 species
GGAAUCUUAGACAAUGGGGGAAACCCUGAUCUAGCCAUGCCGCGUGAGUGACGAAGGCCUUAGGGUCGUAAAGCUCUUUCGCCAGGGAUGAUAAUGACAGUACCUGGUAAAGAAACCCCGGCUAACUACGUGCAAGCAGCCGCGGUAAUACGGAGGUGGCUAGCGUUGUUCGGAAUUACUGGGCGUAAAGCGCACGUAGGCGGAUCGGAAAGUUGGGGGUGAAAUCCCGGGGCUCAACCCCGGAACUGCCUCCAAAACUAUCGGUCUUGAGUUCGAGAGAGGUGAGUGGAAUUCCGAGUGUAGAGGUGAAAUUCGUAGAUAUUCGGAGGAACACCAGUGGCGAAGGCGGCUCACUGGCUCGAUACUGACGCUGAGGUGCGAAAGUGUGGGGAGCAAAC